rnacentral:rRNA from 1 species
UACGUAGGGUGCGAGCGUUAAUCGGAAUUACUGGGCGUAAAGCGUGCGCAGGCGGCUUCGCAAGUCAGACGUGAAAUCCCCGGGCUUAACCUGGGAAUGGCGUUUGAAACUACGGAGCUGGAGUAUGGCAGAGGGGGGUGGGAAUUCCACGUGUAGCAGUGAAAUGCGUAGAUAUGUGGAGGAACACCGAUGGCGAAGGCAGCCCCCUGGGUUAACACUGACGCUCAUGCACGAAAGCGUGGGGAGCGAAACAGG